GGGCUAGUAGCUCAGUUGGUCAGAGCACACGCUUGAUAAGCGUGGGGUCGCAAGUUCAAAUCUUGCCUGGCCCACCA
rnacentral:tRNA from 1 species